AGUGCCUACACUGGCAUUAUGUAAAUUAAAUCAGGUGCUACAGAAAAGAUUAGCAUGGACCUUGCACAAAGAUGACUUCAAAUUCAUGAAGCAUUCUACAGUUUU
ensembl:snRNA U6 U6 spliceosomal RNA